GCCGGUAGGGCGGCGCCCGGCUGCCGGUGGGGCGGAGGCCUGAGGCGGCCUUGGCGGGGUGGCUUGUCUAGGUCCCACGGUUCCUGCGCUGUCUCUCCGAACCAGUACCGGUGCCAGUAAUGUGAACUGAUAAGUGUGCCGGUUUAAGGCUGCCCCUGCCCCGGUUGCCUCUAAACCGUGCGGCCUGGUGGGUGUGGGAAAGUGGACUGCAGUAGCGCUGUGUUAGAAAGCGAGUUUGCGAGGGAGGGUGGGUGUGGUCGAAAUGCCAAAGCCUUAUCUCAAAAAUGAAAACGCGAGACCUGAAAAUUAUUUCUGGUGAAGAACGCUUGCCCGAGAGGUGGGGGGCGGAGGGGGGAGCGGGAUGGAGGGAGGAGUAUGGAGUCUGCUAAAAAUCUGAAAGACGCUGGCUUGUCAUUUAUUCCGGAAGUAUCCAUCGAGGCUCACCACGUUUAAGGCACUAGGGGAGGACCAGAGUCGUGCAUUUGGAAAGCUUACCUUCGAAUGGAACAGACGGACUGAAACAAAUAAACAAGCCAGGCAUGGGUGGUGGCCAGUGCCUGUGGCCCCAGCUACUCAGGAGGCUGAGACGGGAGGAUUUGCUUGAGCCCAGGAUUUCAAGACAGAACUUUACAACACUUUUAAUCUCGCCAGCAGCCUAAGUCACAUGCUGUCAUGCAGCUGGGCCAGCUUAGGUCAGGACCUCACUGCCCUGUUCCAUCACUGGUUUGGUCCUGGGGGGCAAUGGAAGAGGAAUGCCAGCAGGAAGAGGUCGGUAUAUUGCAUCCCUGGAAGAACACUGAUUAGUGCUGCCUGGAUCUGAUACCCGUUUCAUGGCCCAGUAUAUAACAGACAAUCAAUAAAUACUCUUGAGUGCAUGAGUAAGGCUAUCAUGAAUAACAUGACAGACAUAGCUCUCAUUGUUGUAAAUUACUAAAUUAAUAUACUUUGUGUCUGUCUGGAGAUGCUGGUUCAUGUGCACUUGCUUCUGAGAAGAUGUCUGCUGUCUGUGUUUUGAGGAAACAGUUUCUGAGUCUGCAAGACUGAGAGCUUUGGUAAAUUCAGCAAGGUAAUUAAAUGCCACCCUGGGAGGUUUCCUGGGUAACAGUCUGUUCUAGAUGACCACCUAGACUAUGAGUGUUGAUGGAGAAUGCCUUUCUCUACUUGAAUAGAACUUAUUAAUGAGAUGUAUAGAUUUUUCAAACUUAUGUUUACAACAUCAUAAUGAGGUAAUUAUAGCCAGAUAAGCUAGUAUUGACUCCAUUUAAUAGCUAGGAAGGUCCAGGCAUAUAUUGGGUAAGUCAGUGUUUUUCAAGGAAUGUCUUCCAGAACACAAGACCCCUAGGUGAUUCAUGAAAAGGGGUUCUGUGGUAAAUUAUGAUUGGGAAGACUCUGAAUGAUUUCCAGUAUAUGUUAGUAUGUUAAAGGUUCUGAAGGAAGCAGUUAAGAACUCUAUAUAGGGCAGAUGCAAUGGCUCAUGCCUGUAAUCCCAGCACUUUGGGAGGCUGAGGUGGGAGGAUCACUUGGGCCUAGAAGUUCAAGACCAGCCUGGGCUUGUAGAGACCUGGUCUUUACAAAAAUUAAAAAGUUAGCUGGGCAUGGUGGUGCACACCUAUAGUCUCAGCUACUUGGGAGGCUGAAGUGGGAGAAUCACCUGAGCCCAAAAUUCAAGGCUGCAGUGAGCCAAGAUCAUGUCACUGCACUCCAGCCUGGGCAACAGAGUGAGAUGCUGUCCUUUAAAAAAAGCAGCAGCUGAAGAAAGCUACAUGAACUAAAAUCUGUUUAACGUUGAUCAAAAUGAUUUAGCAAAAUUAUUGGACCUUAAGUCUCCUGUUUCUGCAUAUAUCUUCUCUUAUGCCCUCCUGUUUUCAUAAAAAAUUUGUCUCUUUCCACCUAAGGCCAAUCUCUCUUUCCACCUAAGGUCCUAUACCUAGGACCCUAUCUCCCUCUCCCUCCAUUCUUAGGAAUCUUCUAUUUCUCAGUGCUCUCCCUCCUCAUCCUAGGACUGACAUCAUCUCCGUACUUUUGCUAAUCAUCCCAUUUGAUUUUCCAGUACCUAUAUAAUUAGUUCCCCAUCCUGGUAUGAGUUAUGUUUUCCUGAUUUGACCCUGACCGAUGAUGAUACAUGGAAAUAUCAGAAAAUGGGGGAAAGGGGGAAGGAGAACAUUUGAGAAUCAGGCAAAUUCUACUUGACUUGGUAGAUGACCUUGAAGUCAAGGUACCUCGGGGAAAGUAGUGGAGAUCAGGAGACAAUGGCAGUACAUUGAUGUUAUGAGCUCUUACCUAGGCAUCACUGUUUCCCAUGAAAGCAGAUGUCCUCCAGACUAGGGGUUGUGGGGAAGUUGUAUGAGUAGAGAAAAGAGCAGGUUACAGAGGGAAGCCCAUCUCCCUGCAUAUGAGCAAUUCUCUCUGGUUGUCAGUAAGUCACAAAUAAGUCAGUGCUGUCAUCUAGCUGCCUGGGGUGGGGGUCAGAGGACUUGCUCCACAGCAGAAACCUCUUCAUCUGGGAGCAAGUUGGGCACAGCUUCUUUUGGCUGCAUCUGUAACCUGUCCUGGAUUGGGCCAGCUGCUGAGUUGGUCACAGUUUGUGGUUGACGCCUAUUGUUAAAUGUCAAUAUUUUAACAGUCAUCCCACACUGCUAUGCUAUGGCAUUUGUCCCUUGACCCUAGGAGGACAGGCAAUUCUUUCAUACAUAAUAGGAAAAGAUAGAAGAGAGACUGUCUUUUUUUCUCAAAGAGGGUUCGGGCCAGUAGCAGGUCAUUGUACUCUGAAUAAUGCCCUUUCAAAUGCAGAAAAAAUAUAAUUCUCACACACACACUUCUGGGGCCAUUAGAGACACCAAUUUACUGAGCGUGAGUUUUGCAAGAUGAUUCUGUAAUGAAAUGUAAUCCUCAGAGUCUGAAAUAAGUAAAAUGUGCUCGAAGUAUAGACUGAAUUGUGCUUGAAGUAUAGAAAACACUGGGUCCAAAAGUGCUGGGCAGACAGGAAGUUCUGCACGUAAGAAUGUCUAUCAGUUGAAGUGUCUCUGGAGUUCUCUGGAGGUUGAAUCUGGAAUGACCAGUUCUUGGGUGUGCCCUGUUGAGGAGCUAACUGGUGCAGGAGCUAUCUGGGGUGAAAUCACUACUCCUGAGAAGGAAAGUCUCUCCUCCACCUCUCCCAGGCUGAAAAGACAGCUUGGCUUGGGGGUGGCAUGGGUGGAGCUUUCAGCUGAGACUAGAAGCCUAGCUAUCCUCCUGGUGUGAGGAGAAGGUGACCCUACACUCUUCCUGCUGUCACAGGAACCAUGGAGUGCAGCUGUUGGGGAAUUACCCCUGAUGGAAGGAGGGCAUAAAUGCUCAUUCUCCUCUGAAAGUCUGUAAAGUGCAGCCAUAAACAUCCCAGACUCUUGAAUGUGAAACACUUGUCCUUUCUCACCUGGGUUGAAAAGUCAAGCCUAAUUCUUUUAAUAAUGCCCCAAUGCCUUGAACUUCAUCUCAUCUAUUCCUAUAGGAGCCUAGCACCCCAGAGGAAGGAAACCUAGCACCCCAGAAACCCUGCUUAAGACAAAUGAUCUUCAGCUGGACUUGGUGGCUAAUGCCUGUAAUCCCAGCACUUUGAAAGGCAGAGGUGGGAGGAUCACUUGAGGCCAGGGGUUCAAGACCAGCCUGGACAAAAUAGGGAGAUUGCAGCUGAAGAAAGAAAGAAAAGAAAGAAAGAGAGAGAAAAAGGAGAGAGAAAGAAAGAAAGAGUGUUGUAAAAAUCCUUAGUGUUUAAAAUAAAUUUCCAUGGUUAGGAAAA